CAAUACAGCAGUGGCAGACGGGUGAGUAACACGUGGGAACCUUCCUCGGGGUACGGAACAGCUCAGGGAAACUUGAGCUAAUACCGUAUACGUCCGUAAGGAGAAAGAUUCAUCGCCCCGAGACGGGCCCGCGUCGGAUUAGGUAGUUGGUGGGGUAACGGCCUACCAAGCCUACGAUCCGUAGCUGAUCUGAGAGGAUGAUCAGCCACACUGGGACUGAGACACGGCCCAG
rnacentral:rRNA from 1 species